rnacentral:rRNA from 1 species
GACGGGCCCGCACAAGCAGCGGAGCGUGUGGUUUAAUUCGAUGCUACACGAAGAACCUUACCAGGGUUUGACAUGCAAGUGGUAGGAACCGAAAGGCGACCGACCCUUCGGGGAGCUUGCACAGGUGCUGCAUGGCUGUCGUCAGCUCGUGUCGUGAGAUGUUCGGUUAAGUCCGCUAACGAGCGCAACCCUCGCUGUGUGUUACAAGUGUCACACGGUACUGCCGGUCUUAAGCCGGAGGAAGGUGGGGAUGACGUCAAGUCAGCAUGGCCUUUAUGUCCUGGGCUACACACACGCUACAAUGGCCAACACAAUAGGUUGCUAAGCCGCGAGGUGGAGCCAAUCCUCAAAGUUGGUCUCAGUUCAGAUUGCAGGCUGCAACCCGCCUGCAUGAAGAUGGAGUUGCUAGUAACCGCAGGUCAGCUAUACUGCGGUGAAUACGUUCCCGGGCCUU